rnacentral:rRNA from 1 species
UUUAUUGGAGAGUUUGAUCCUGGCUCAGGAUGAACGCUGGCGGCGUGCCUAAUACAUGCAAGUCGAGCGAAUGGAUUAAGAGCUUGCUCUUAUGAAGUUAGCGGCGGACGGGUGAGUAACACGUGGGUAACCUGCCCAUAAGACUGGGAUAACUCCGGGAAACCGGGGCUAAUACCGGAUAACAUUUUGAACCGCAUGGUUCGAAAUUGAAAGGCGGCUUCGGCUGUCACUUAUGGAUGGACCCGCGUCGCAUUAGCUAGUUGGUGAGGUAACGGCUCACCAAGGCAACGAUGCCUAGCCGACCUGACACGGUGAUCGGCCACAC